rnacentral:rRNA from 1 species
UACAGAGGGUGCGAGCGUUAAUCGGAAUUACUGGGCGUAAAGCGCACGUAGGCGGCUUGGUAUGUCGGGUGUGAAAUCCCCGGGCUCAACCUGGGAAUUGCAUUCGAGACUGAAUAGCUAGGGUACGGUAGAGGGAAGUGGAAUUUCCGGUGUAGCGGUGAAAUGCGUAGAUAUCGGAAGGAACAUCAGUGGCGAAAGCGACUUCCUGGACCAGUACCGACGUUCAGGCACGAAAGCGUGGGGAGCAAACAGG